rfam:Desulfobacterales bacterium S5133MH4 k99_430045, whole genome shotgun sequence.
AAAUAAGAUUUACUGUGAGAAGUCAGCCGAGGUCGUAGUACCGGACCCAUCGACGGGGUUCGGAAAGGAC